rnacentral:rRNA from 1 species
GACAGAGGGUGCAAACGUUGUUCGGAAUUACUGGGCGUAAAAGCGAGUGUAGGCGGUCUGCUAAGUCGGGUGUGAAAGCCCCGGGCUCAACCCGGGAAGUGCACUCGAAACUGGCAGGCUAGAGUAUCGGAGAGGUUGGUGGAAUUCUCGGUGUAGAGGUGAAAUUCGUAGAUAUCGAGAGGAACACCGGUGGCGAAGGCGGCCAACUGGACGAAUACUGACGCUGAGACUCGAAAGCGUGGGGAGCAAACAGG